rnacentral:rRNA from 1 species
GAAGUGAGAAUGCCGGUAUGAGUAACGAAAGACGGGUGAGAAUCCCGUCCACCGAAUGCCUAAGGUUUCCUGAGGAAGGCUCGUCCGCUCAGGGUUAGUCGGGACCUAAGUCGAGGCCGAUAGGCGUAGACGAUGGACAACAGGUUGAUAUUCCUGUACCACCUCCCCGCCGUUUGAGCAAUGGGGGGACGCAGAAGGAUAGGGUGAGCGUGCCGUUGGUUGUGCACGUCCAAGUUGUGAGAUGAGAAACGAGGCAAAUCCCGUUUCUAGAUACAUCAAGCAGUGAUGGCAAGAGGUUUACCUCAGAGUCCCUGAUUUCACACUGCCAAGAAAAGCCUCUAGCGAGGCGGGAG